rnacentral:rRNA from 1 species
GACGGAGGAUGCAAGUGUUAUCCGGAAUCACUGGGCGUAAAGCGUCUGUAGGUGGUUUAAAAAGUCUACUGUUAAAGCCUGAAGCUUAACUUCAAAAAUGCCGUAGAAACUUUUAAACUUGAGUAUGGUAGGGGUAGAGGGAAUUUCCAGUGGAGCGGUGAAAUGCGUAGAUCUUGGAAAGACCACCAAUGGCGAAGGCACUCUACUGGGCCAUUACUGACACUAAGAGACGAAAGCUAGGGGAGCAAAUGGG